rnacentral:rRNA from 1 species
AUUGAACGCUGGCGGCAUGCUUUACACAUGCAAGUCGAACGGUAACAGGCCGCAAGGUGCUGACGAGUGGCGAACGGGUGCGUAAUGCAUCGGAACGUGCCCAGUCGUGGGGGAUAACUACUCGAAAGAGUAGCUAAUACCGCAUACGAUCUAUGGAUGAAAGCGGGGGACCGUAAGUCCUCGCGCGAUUGGAGCGGCCGAUGUCAGAUUAGGUAGUUGGUGGGGUAAAGGCUCACCAAGCCAACGAUCUGUAGCUGGUCUGAGAGGACGACCAGCCACACUGGGACUGAGACACGGCCCAGACUCCUACGGGAGGCAGCAGUGGGGAAUUUUGGACAAUGGGCGCAAGCCUGAUCCAGCAAUGCCGCGUGCAGGAAGAAGGCCUUCGGGUUGUAAACUGCUUUUGUACGGAACGAAACGGCUCUGGUUAAUACCCGGGGCUAAUGACGGUACCGUAAGAAUAAGCACCGGCUAACUACGUG